AGCAACCCGGGCGUCCCUCUCACCGACCUAUGAUACUAGACACUCCACCCCUAUAUAUUCUCCUCUGUCCUCCCCAUCAUAUUUCUUGAAACGCCUCGUUUGUUCUGUCUUCGUUCUCGUUUCUAGCAACCCGGGCGUCCCUCUCACCGACCUAUGAUACUAGACACUCCACCCCUAUAUAUUCUCCUCUGUCCUCCCCAUCAUAUUUCUUGAAACGCCUCGUUUGUUCUGUCUUCGUUCUCUUCGAGCUCUGUCGUUGCUUCCGAGUUCUUGAAAUUUUCUUUACGGAACUUUGUAUGCUCCCUCAAAGAAAAUAGGAAUCAGUGCCAUUUAAUACGCGAGAGGACCACUCUCAGCCACUCCUUGUCGCCUCUCUGCUUUGUCUCCGAGAAAAGAGGGAGCCGCUUCGGAAGGGUAAAACCUUAAUAUCAUGUGAAUUAUUCCUUGAUUUCUGGAGAUCUUUGUCUAUUUUCAUGUUUUCUUCGUUUAUCUGGUUGCUGAUCGUGUAUCUGACCGGAUUGAUCGGGUCUGUGUCUUCCAUUUCGCUAUUUUCGAGUCGCUUUAAAGAUAUUUUCAAGUGUGUUCUCUACUAAAUUAUGGAUCGGUAUGAUCUUUGAUUAAGCAAUCCGUUAGACAGAUAUCUGUUCUUGUUUCCAGAUCGGUAUCAUUCUCGUCUUUUUCGUGUUCAUUUUUUGAUCGAUCUAGCGCUGGGAAUAUUGUUUUAGAGACGGAUAUGGUGGGUAUAAGGGUUGGUUGUUUGUCAUGAAAACUGUUAGAUCAGGUAGAUCUGCAAUGGUUUUAGGGGUGGCCUUGUUCUAUAUGCUUGAUUUUCUUUACGGACCUUUGUCUGCACCCUAAGAAAAAAGAUGAAUCACUCAUUUAAUACGCGAGAGGACCUCUCUGUCAUCCCGUUCUUGCGUUUCUGUCGCCUCUCUCCUUUGUCUCCGAGAAAAGAGGGUGCCGCUUCGGAAGGGUAAAACCUUAAUCUCAUAUGAAUUCUUCCUUGAUUUCUGGAGAUCUUUGUCUAUUUUUCAUGUUUUCUUCGUUUAUCUGGUUGCUGAUCGUGUACCUGAGCGUAUCGAUCGAGUCCUGUGUCUAUCAUUUCGCUAUUUUCGAGUCGAUUUGAAGACAUUUACAAGUGUGUUCUCUACUAAAUUAUGGAUCGGUGUGUCUUUGAUCAAGCAAUCCGUUAGACAGAUAUCUGUUCUUGUUUUCAGAUCGGUAUCAUUCUCUUCUUUAUCGUGUUUAUUUUUUGAUCGAUCUAGCGCUGGGAAUCUUGUUUUAGAGACGGAUAUGGUGGGUAUAAGCAUUGGUUGUUUGUAGUGGAAACCAUUAGAUCAGGUAGAUCUGCAAUGGUUUUAGGGGCGGCCUUGUUCUUGACGCUUGAUUUAGUAUAUUAAUUGCAUCUGAUUUCCUGUUUUAUAAGGAUUGUACGCUGUUUCAUGGUUCUUGUUUGCGAAUUUGGUCCCUGAUAGCUUUGAGGUGGUAGACAUCCAGAUUAGCUUGGGGAUUUUAGACCUUCGAGCGUGUAGCUUCUCUAAUCAUGAUACGUUUAUUGAUCUAUUGCUUGCAGUUUUUUAUGUGUCUAAAUUUAUAGUACAUAGACUUGGCACCAAUAACACUGUAGUUAUUUACUUCUAAAAUAAAGUAUUGGUUUUGAUGUGGAGUAGCAUGGUUUAUAUAUAUGUUUGCUCUCUUUUAUGGAGUUAUUUAAACUAUUCCAUUGGAGAUCAUCCAUUUUAUUUAUAGAAACCCAUGGUGGUAAGGUUUAUGAUAUAUUAAGCUCUGUAUUUUGUGUGAUGAAGCUUUAAGGUUAUUUUGACCAUUGAAAUUGUUAACUGUUGUAUUUUAUAUUCUUGGUCAUCUGCAGUUCUUCGUGAUGAGGUAUUUAAUUUGGUAAAUGUUUCAUUUGUUUGUGGUUGUUUUCUUUCAUCUUUUCUUGUAUUGAUUAUUUACUGUAUUUUAUGUGAUUCUUUAUAGCACAAAUGUCUGCACAUUUUCUUUAUAUAAAAGUACCGGCCUUGUAGGUUGUUCAUAAAAAUUGUUCAGUUUUACAAUUCUCAUGACAAUAUCCCAAUUAUCAUAUGUUUUAAUUCUCAUAAUCUUCAACAUUAAUGCCUCUUUUUUAGUCUAUUUUUAGUUAAUUAUGGUUUGGUCAGACAAGACUACUUGUAUACAGUUAACCUAUUUUUUAGUCUAUUUUUAGUCUAUUGGUCAGACAAAACAUUAAUGCCUCUUUUUUAGUCUAUUUUUCAUGGACGAGGCGGAGGUGGGUUUUCUCUCGUUGCAUCGGUCUUCGAUGACGAUGGCAUGCUUUUGCUUGCUUCCAUCCUUAUUGUCAUCGUUCCAUCAUAAGUUCUUGAUCCUUGGUCCAAAGAUAGUUCGGUAUAGGGAUUCUUUGGUAAAGAUUCAUAUGGUCUAUUUCAUGACCACCGCUUCCUCGAUGGUGGUGAAAACCUAGCCGUAGACACCAUCAUUAGCUUAGCUUCCUUGGUAGAGGCUAAAAACGAAUGUGGCGAUCAACAAGGAGGGCUUUCUAUAGUUGCAUCGAUGUUGAUCUCUUGCAUUCGCUUGUUUCCUAUCCUAUAGUGGCCAUUCUAUCGCAAAUUCUUGAUCCUUGGUGCAGAGAAGUGUUGGUACAAGGAUUCUUUUGAAUAGAUUCUUUUGGUCACAGAUUUUCAUAGCAAGCUCUGCUGCUGCACCAAAGAUCAUGAUUAGAGACGGAUAUGGUGGGUAUAAGCAUUGGUAUAACCUUACCACCAUGGGUUUCUAUAAAUAAAAUGGAUGAUCUCCAAUGGAAUAGUUUAAAUAACUCCAUAAAAGAGAGCAAACAUAUAUAUAAACCAUGCUACUCCACAUCAAAACCAAUACUUUAUUUUAGAAGUAAAUAACUACAGUGUUAUUGGUGCCAAGUCUAUGUACUAUAAAUUUAGACACAUAAAAAACUGCAAGCAAUAGAUCAAUAAACGUAUCAUGAUUAGAGAAGCUACAAGCUCCAAGGUCUAAAAUCCCAAAGCUAAUCUGGAUGUCUACCACUUCAAAGCUAUCAGGGACCAAAUUCGCAAACAAGAACCAUGAAACAGCGUACAAUCCUUAUAAAACAGGAAAUCAGAUGCAAUUAAUAUACUAAAUCAAGCGUCAAGAACAAGGCCGCCCCUAAAACCAUUGCAGAUCUACCUGAUAUAUUUUGUGUGAUGAAGCUUUAAGGUUAUUUUGACCAUCGAAAUUGUUAACUGUUGUAUUUUAUAUUCUUGGUCAUCUGCAGUUCUUCAUGAUGAGGUAUUUAAUUUGGUAAAUGUUUCAUUUGUUUGUGGUUGUUUUCUUUCAUCUUUUUUUGUAUUGAUUAUUUACUGUAUUUUAUGUGAUUCUUUAUAGCACAAAUGUCUGCACAUUUUCUUUAUAUAAAAGUACCGGCCUUGUAGGUUGUUCAUAAAAAUUGUUCAGUUUUGCAAUUCUCAUGACAAUAUCCCAAUUAUCAUAUUUUUUAAUUCUCAUAAUCUUCAACAUUAAUGCCUCUUUUUUAGUCUAUUUUUAGUUAAUUAUGGUUUGGUCAGACAAGACUACUUGUAUAUAGUUAACCUAUUUUUUAGUCUAUUUUAGUCUAUUUUUUAGUCUAUUUUUAGUCUAUUGGUCAGACAAAACAUUAAUGCCUCUUUUUUAGUCUAUUUUUCUUGGACAAGGCGGAGGUGGGUUUUCUCUCGUUGUAUCGGUCUUCGAUGACGAUGGCAUGCUUUUGCUUGCUUCCAUCCUUAUUGUCAUUGUUCCAUCAUAAGUUCUUGAUCCUUGGUCCAAAGAUAGUUCUGUCACGGACUUAGCUGGUUUUGCCUAAGUCGUGCGGCACCCUUGCGUGUCCGUUCGCAAAGGUCAGCCUCCCCGAAGCCUCCCAUUGUCCCUUAGGACCACCAAAAGAGAGAACGGGUUAGAGAGAACGCCUCAAUCGGGAUCCACAAGCAAACAUCUCCGAAAAACACUUCAUAGACAAUGCAAAUUACAAACAGACUUUACAAGCUCUGAACAGUUGCACAACAAAGGGUAAAAUGGUCCAUUACAGACCGAAAAGCUCUCGCACGUGUCCACAUGACACAACCUUUAUUUACAAGCCUAAAGAGGCCACCAACCUAACUCAAAUGGGACUUUGAAGCCUUCGGCCGCCCCUCUAUAUGCUCCAAGCAGUCUAUUUGGUCGAUGGAAAGACAGACUGCAACUCCCAUGCAUGGCCUCUGCCAUCACGUUGUAGGGUUUGCACUGAUUCUGUUCUCCUUAGCUUCCUUGAUAGCAACGUUCGCUUACUCGACCUUGUCCUCUGACUUGUCGGGCUCCCUUAAGCGAAUAUGAGCUCUGGAGCAGUCCAACUCUCCAGUUGCUUCGAUCAUACCUCUGCAUGAUCAAGUCCCUCCCAUGGAACUCACUGGUGCUUGCAUUCGAACUUUUCCCUUGAUAUACAAAGAAAAUAGGCAAAAAGGAAACAUAGUUUUAUCUCACAGUAAUUACCAUCAAAAUCAUGUUGGAGUUGAAUGAAGAUAGAUGUUAAAUAGAGUGAAGGAAUGAAUUAAAGUGAAGCAUAAAGCUGAAACAUGGUUCAAUUUAUUUGUCUUUUUCCCUUUAUAUCCAAAACUAAUUUUAAUAUCUGAUUGCAUUCUUCUGCUGAUUUCAAUGUCAUGCAACAUCUAAUUUGUGAUUAGAGGUUUAACAGGCCAACUCCAUGAGUAAAAAAUAAUCAAACCAAAUACUUCUACAUUAAUAACUGUGAUACUAUAAUCUAGUUAGAAGGAAGGAUUGAUGAUCCAAAUCUAUAAUUAAAUAUCAUAUGCUUCAUUACAGAGGAGUAGUGAUUCAUACAGUAAUCAAAGCCAAAACUCAAUGCCUCUAUAAAUGUGUGUGUGUGUUUGUGAGGUCUACUCUGUUCCUCAUCAGGAACAUUGCCAGCUACAUCCAAAGGAAUUGUGGGCAUGGGUUCUCUUAUCAUCCUACAGAUUCAAUUUAAAGUUGGUGGUUGAAUCCAUCAAGAAGGUAAGUGGGUCUCAUUUCAAUGUCUGAUUGAGAUGUAGGACUUGGAGUUGUUCAUCAUUCAUAACUCACAUUGGACCAUUUGAUUGUCAAGUAAGGUGAUACUGUUUGAUGAAGACAUCAUAGCACUGUCACCACUGGUUGAAGAAUCCACAAAAAAUGGUCCAUCUUUCUUAUGAUCACAUGUCUUAUGUUUUAGGCUGUAUGCAGUACCCCUCUCAUGCUCUGAGAUGAGGACAUCACAGAUUGACUGUGUUCAUCUACCAAGCAGCUCAUCAAGAGAAAACACUUCAGGAGAAAUAAAAGAGGGGGCGAUGGCUCCACAACACCGCACAGCACAAAACACAUCGGUGAAACACUAUGUGAUCACUGACAGAGCACAGCGUGAAGGGGACCUCCGCGACAGGUGAGGUUUCAUCUCUCACCGCUAGCUGUCUUCCCUAAUCCAUUCACUGUCGUGACGUUGAAGUCCAUCUCCACUGUUUUGAUUCUAUGAUGGUAGUUUGCUUCUCUCUCUGUUCUCGUGAUUUGGUGGCUUUGCAGCGAGGACAAGCGAAGGAAGGGGGCGGGGGGGAGGGGGCGGCAGAUCAGACGCACGCAUUCACGACCGUGGCGGCCGCUGCUGUCUUCGUAGAGUAGAAAAAGACCGGUUUCUGCGCCUCGGCUCAGGUCUUGAGAGAUUUCCGGCGAAAUUAAUGUGCUCCGCCGCCUCAAACAUCUCGUCGAUCUCCAACUUUUUGCAGUUCACUGAACAAUUGCGUUGAGCUGUUCAAUCGAUAUGGGAUUCGAUUUAAAUAUUUUAUUUAAAUUUUAGCUGUAUAAUAAUCCUGACUUAUCGGACAAUCGGAUCUCAGAUAAUAAAGAUUUUAUCGUUUUA